GCGCGAGUGGCGAAAUAGGCAGACGCGCUGGAUUUAGGUUCCAGUGUCUUAACGGACGUAGGGGUUCAAGUCCCCUCUCGCGCA
rnacentral:tRNA from 1 species